GCGAACCUAUACACAAUAUUUAAAAAGAAAUUUUGAUUAUUUAAAGACAAUAUAAAUUACAGUGAACAGUAUUUGAACAUCAACGUGAAGAUCUUUCCAUCAUUAUAACUAACACAGAAUGAUUUCAAUAAUUCAUGGAUCAGGAUCACUACCAGGUAGCGGUGUUGGUGCAACAACCAUAUUUGGUGAUGAACUUUCUGAUGAAGGCGAACUACACACCAUCAUUCUUGGCUUAGGUGAACUUCUGCAAAUUUAUUAAUGCUCAUUUUACAUCUGUAUUACUUCCAUUAAUAAGACAAACCUUAUAAAAGUUA